GACGCUGGCGGCGUGCCUAAUACAUGCAAGUCGAACGGUCUUUCUAUGGAAGCUUGCUUCCGCUGAGAAGAUAGUGGCGAACGGGUGAGUAACACGUGGGUAACCUGCCCAUAAGAGGGGGAUAACAUCCGGAAACGGGUGCUAAUACCGCAUAGUUUUCUUGGUCGCAUGAUCGGGAAAGGAAAGACGGCCUUUGUGCUGUCGCUUAUGGAUGGACCCGCGGCGUAUUAGCUAGUUGGUGAGGUAACGGCUCACCAAGACGAUGAUACGUAGCCGACCUGAGAGGGUGAUCGGCCACAUUGGGACUGAGACACGGCCCAAACUCCUACGGGAGGCAGCAGUAGGGAAUCUUCCGCAAUGGACGAAAGUCUGACGGAGCAACGCCGCGUGAGUGAAGAAAAGGUUUUCGGAUCGUAAAACUCUGUUGUCAGAGAAGAACAAGUUGGAGAGUAACUGCUCCAGCCUUGACGGUAUCUGACCAGAAAGCCACGGCUAACUACGUGCCAGCCGCCGC
rnacentral:rRNA from 1 species